rnacentral:rRNA from 1 species
GUAGGGGGCAAGCGUUGUCCGGAAUUAUUGGGCGUAAAGCGCGCGCAGGCGGCCUGUUAAGUCUGGUGUGAAAGACCACGGCUCAACCGUGGGGUGGCAUCAGAAACUGGCGGGCUUGAGUGCAGGAGAGGAGAGUGGAAUUCCCGGUGUAGCGGUGGAAUGCGUAGAGAUCGGGAGGAACACCACUGGCGAAGGCGACUCUCUGGCCUGUAACUGACGCUGAGGCGCGAAAGCGUGGGGAGCGAACAGGAUUAGAUACCCUGGUAGUCCACGCCGUAAACGAUGAGUGCUAGGUGUUGGGGGUUUCCGCCCUCUGUGCCGAAGGUAACCCAAUAAGCACUCCGCCUGGGGAGUACGGCCGCAAGGCUG